AAAUUUCAGAUGAUUUUUUGUUAUAUUUAGCUUUUAAAAAAUAAUUUAUAAUGCUCCACUAUAAACAAUUUUUUUCUAACAGAUGCUCCAGUCGAAUACUACAUCAAAUUCUUUGACUUGAGGAGAAGAAAUAAUUCUUUUACCUUCACUAUAAAUUCUUUUAAAUUGUUUUUUAAAAGCUAAAUAUAAUAGUCACAUUUUUAAUAUUACUAGGAAUUUCAUUAAAUACUAUGGUAAAUUCUUUCUUCUCCUCUGCUCGACCAGGG
rnacentral:lncRNA from 1 species